rnacentral:ncRNA from 2 species
UCUUUACACUAGGGGUGCGUAAGCUGAGAGAGGCGUUAUGUCUCGACCCUUUGAACCUGAUCUAGCUUGAACUAGCGUAGGGAAGUGGUUGUGUGCGACA